rnacentral:tRNA from 2 species
GGGGCAUUAGCUCAGUUGGGAGAGCGCAUGACUGGCAGUCAUGAGGUCAGGAGUUCGAGCCUCCUAUGCUCCACCA